CAGUAGCCGCGGUAAUACGGAGGGGGCUAGCGUUGUUCGGAAUUACUGGGCGUAAAGCGCACGUAGGCGGCUUUGUAAGUCAGAGGUGAAAGCCCGGGGCUCAACCCCGGAAUUGCCUUUGAGACUGCAUCGCUUGAAUCCAGGAGAGGUGAGUGGAAUUCCGAGUGUAGAGGUGAAAUUCGUAGAUAUUCGGAAGAACACCAGUGGCGAAGGCGGCUCACUGGACUGGUAUUGACGCUGAGGUGCGAAAGCGUGGGAAGCAAACAGGAUUAGAUACCCCUGUAGUCCCUGUCUCUUAUAC
rnacentral:rRNA from 1 species